GCGGCAGUAGUUCAGCGGUAGAGCCCCCGCUUCGCAUGCAAGGAGAUCUGGGUUCAAUUCCCGGCUGCUUCC
rnacentral:tRNA from 1 species